rnacentral:rRNA from 1 species
CACGUAGGGCGCAAGCGUUGUCCGGAAUUAUUGGGCGUAAAGAGCUCGUAGGCGGUUUGUUGCGUCGGCUGUGAAAUCCCGAGGCUCAACCUCGGGUCUGCAGUCGAUACGAGCAAACUAGAGUGUUGCAGGGGAGACUGGAAUUCCUGGUGUAGCGGUGAAAUGCGCAGAUAUCAGGAGGAACACCGGUGGCGAAGGCGGGUCUCUGGGCCGAUACUGACGCUGAGGAGCGAAAGCGUGGGGAGCAAACAGG